rnacentral:rRNA from 1 species
CACCCUUCGGGGUGUGACUGCGUACCUUUUGUAUAAUGGGUCAGCGACUUAUAUUCUGUAGCAAGGUUAACCGUAUAGGGGAGCCGGAGGGAAACCGAGUCUUAACCGGGCGUUAAGUUGCAGGGUAUAGACCCGAAACCCGGUGAUCUAGCCAUGGGCAGGUUGAAGGUUGGGUAACACUAACUGGAGGACCGAACCGACUAAUGUUGAAAAAUUAGCGGAUGACCUGUGGCUGGGGGUGAAAGGCCAAUCAAACCGGGAGAUAGCUGGUUCUCCCCGAAAGCUAUUUAGGUAGCGCCUCGUGAAUUCAUCUCCGGGGGUAGAGCACUGUUUCGGCUAGGGGGCCAUCCCGGCUUACCAACCCGAUGCAAACUGCGAAUACCGGAGAAUGUUAUCACGGGAGACACACGGCGGGUGCUAACGUCCGUCGUGAAGAGGGAAACAACCCAGACCGCCAGCUAAGGUCCCAAAGUCAUGGUUAAGUGGGAAACGAUGUGGGAAGGCCCAGACAGCCAGGAUGUUGGCUUAGAAGCAGCCAUCAUUUAAAGAAAGCGUAAUAGCUCACUGGUCGAGUCGGCCUGCGCGGAAGAUGUAACGGGGCUAAACCAU